GCUGGCACCGUGUGGGGGGGGUGGUAUUCAGGAGAGAAGCCCAGGGAUCCUUGAAGUCAACGGGGCCUCUAUGGACUGAUUGGGAAAUGUUGCAUUUACUGGGGACACUAGGGACAGGGUAGAGGUUGUUGGAGUUGACUGGGAGCCAUCUGUAUUAACUAGGGGCAAUUGGAGUCAGGCUGGGCUAUUGGACACAAGCUGGUGACCGUUGGGAACCGAGGGGUGUGGCUAGGAACUGACUUCCGGCCACUGGGGACAAGCUGGAGGGUAUUUUGAUCGGGCUGGGGGCUGACAGAAACGGUGACCGGUGACCGUUGGGGCUAUUGGGGGAUGUCAGGUGACUGUUAGAGACAGGUUAGGAACUGUUAGGACCAAUCCAGAGACACUGGGAGCUGGCUAGGUUGGGGCCACUAGGAAUUCGUGGAACCCAGAGGAAGGCCAUGCGUGUGCCUUGGCUGGAUCAACCAGAACCACAGAGGCCAAAAGGUGGGAGCCAAGAAGCAGGCGCAGUGGAGACACACGCUGCCCACCCAAGAGUCCUGCCCCAGUGGUCUCCACCCAACAUGGAACUUCGUGGGGUAAAGAGGAAUCCAACUUCUCGCUCAACUGCGGGGCCCGGGCUGAUGAGCAAGAGCAUCCAGGGCACAGAGGGGCAGGCCUGGAGCUCAGAAAAUCCUGACCUGCAUGGGGUUCAACUGGUCCCCAAGCCCCCGAGCUCGCCUGCGCAGAUCCAGGAAGCCCCCGCGAGCGGGCCACAGUAUCCACAGGGGAAGCAUGGGGUCUUUGGCUGGACUGAGGUACUGUGGAGGUUUCCGGACCUGUGUGAACACAGACUACAGUAUUAGAGGCCGUAGACAGGCCGGAUCACCCUGGCUUCUUUCUCUGUACACCAGCUUCGCUCCAGGACUUUGACUAAGAUGGCGACCGGAGCCUGGAGGCCGUGAGGACUCAGAGGUCCAACCUUCUCUCCGGCCCUCACACCCCAGCCCCAACGCCUUAGAGCAGAACAAAGGCCGUGGGAGGGAAGCGGCCCUCCCCUGUCUGAAUUCAGGGGUGAGACUGAUGGUUAGAGCUCUGCCCCUCAGUGCUGCUCCUGGCUGUCUUUCUACAUAGAAAAGGAUGCAAAAGGCCCAGAACUCUGCCCUAACGAGAAUAAACCCGGGCCCCUCGGUGCCCUUUGCCUGCCAGCUCCUUUCUUCAGGAAGUGAAUCCUAGAGAAGGACUCAGCCCAUGGUGCCCCGCCCUUCUGUCCAGGCCUGGUUCUCCUCUUCAUCCUGGUGAGCAUACGUGAACAGAAACCCACCAGUUCCGUGUUUAUACCAACUCAGGAGAACCAAGCUAUUUUGUUCUGCCAAAUUUUUUUUUAGCCUACCAAUGACUUGGGCCUGAAGAUUUCCUGACAUUUGAAGUCUCUCCAUAUUUAUGGGACCAUCACCCACAGACAGACAAUUCUUUUAUUUUACACGACAGUCCCCAGCACAGAUACGGGACAAGAGGAAGUAAACUCUGACAGUGGUGCUGCUGUGUUUCUGAGAAAUGAGGAGGAAGGCAGGCAGCUUUGUGCCCCCGGCCCUAACUAUGCCUUGUGCCUGACAUGUUAGUGAUGUCCUUUCUCCUUGGAGCUCGGGUAGAUCCUACGGCAGAAGCCGUGAAGAGUCCAGAGUCGAAUUCAGCUCCAGCCUUUCUUAGUUCUCUGGAUUGUAUGUAUUUCUCAAUUGUUGUUCUCUUCAAUUACAGCACUAUGUUACACAGCCAUCGCUGUUUGCCUAAUUGAAAUACAAAACCCGGGAAAACA